UACGGAGGGCGCAAGCGUUGUUCGGAAUUACUGGGCGUAAAGCGUGCGCAGGCGGUUGUGCAAGACAGAUGUGAAAUCCCCGGGCUCAACCUGGGAACUGCAUUUGUGACUGCACGGCUGGAGUGCGGCAGAGGGGGAUGGAAUUCCGCGUGUAGCAGUGAAAUGCGUAGAUAUGCGGAGGAACACCGAUGGCGAAGGCAAUCCCCUGGGCCUGCACUGACGCUCAUGCACGAAAGCGUGGGGAGCAAACAGG
rnacentral:rRNA from 1 species